AGUUAUAAACUGUAAAGUCUGUAUAUAAAUCUUAAAAAUCUUAAAAAGAUGAAUAGAUCCCCAACCCUCGUAGUUUCCUGAACUUGGAGGAUGUGCACCAGAUGUUGGGAUGACUGUUGGACAUAUAGUAUAAUACUAGGAGCCUGAUCUUUGUGUAUUUUAUUUCUGUCAGGCAUGUUGGACAUGUAGGCUGGGAUCCUAACACAGGAUUUGAUGUUAAUAAUCUAGACCCAGAACUGAAGAACCUGUUUGACAUGUGUGGUAUUUCUGAAGUCCAACUAAAGAACAAGGAGACGUCAAAAGCAAUAUAUGAUUUUAUUGAGAAAAAAGGAGGAGUGGAGGCUGUGAAGAACGAGUUUCGUAGACAAGCCUCUCCCUCUCAUCUCUCUUGUGGUGGUCCUCCCACACCUCCACCCCCGUCCCAUGGACGAGGAGUUCCAUCUCCUCAACCUCCCCUCAGAGCUCCUGCUUCUGCUCCUCCUUCAAUUUUGAGUGUGACUCCAAAUA